rnacentral:rRNA from 1 species
AUUGAACGCUGGCGGCAUGCCUUACACAUGCAAGUCGAACGGCAGCAUGGGUGCUUGCACCUGAUGGCGAGUGGCGAACGGGUGAGUAAUGCAUCGGAACGUACCCGGAAGUGGGGGAUAACGUAGCGAAAGUUACGCUAAUACCGCAUAUUCUGUGAGCAGGAAAGCGGGGGAUCGCAAGACCUCGCGCUUCCGGAGCGGCCGAUGUCGGAUUAGCUAGUUGGCGGGGUAAAGGCCCACCAAGGCAACGAUCCGUAGCGGGUCUGAGAGGAUGAUCCGCCACACUGGGACUGAGACACGGCCCAGACUCCUACGGGAGGCAGCAGUGGGGAAUUUUGGACAAUGGGCGCAAGCCUGAUCCAGCCAUGCCGCGUGAGUGAAGAAGGCCUUCGGGUUGUAAAGCUCUUUCGGCCGGGAAGAAUCGUAUGGGUUAAUACCCUGUGCGGAUGACGGUACCGGCAUAAGAAGCACCGGCUAACUACGUGCCAGCAGCCG